UGGGGAAUUUUGCGCAAUGGACGGAAGUCUGACGCAGCCACGCCGCGUGAGUGAAGAAGGCCUUCGGGUUGUAAAGCUCUGUCGCUUGGGACGAAAAGCAGGAGAGAUUCUGUCUGACGGUACCAAGAGAGGAAGCACCGGCUAACUCUGUGCCAGCAGCCGCGGUAAUACAGAGGGUGCAAGCGUUGCUCGGAAUUAUUGGGCGUAAAGAGGAAGUAGGUGGUCAGAUAUGUCUUAGGUGAAAGCCUUGAGCUUAACUCAAGAAGUGCCUAGGAAACGGUCUGACUAGAGUUCUGAAGAGGGUCGUGGAAUUCCCGGUGUAGCGGUGAAAUGCGUAGAGAUCGGGAGGAACAUCUGAGGCGAAGGCGACGACCUGGUCAGUUACUGACACUCAAUUCCG
rnacentral:rRNA from 1 species